AGCGAACGCUGGCGGCAGGCCUAACACAUGCAAGUCGAACGAACCUUUCGGGGUUAGUGGCGGACGGGUGAGUAACACGUGGGAACGUGCCUUUAGGUUCGGAAUAACUCAGGGAAACUUGUGCUAAUACCGAAUGUGCCCUUCGGGGGAAAGAUUAAUCGCCUUUAGAGCGGCCCGCGUCUGAUUAGCUAGUUGGUUGAGGUAAUGGCUCACCAAGGCGACGAUCAGUAGCUGGUCUGAGAGGAUGAUCAGCCACAUUGGGACUGAGACACGGCCCAAACAGGGAAGGGCGGAAGGGGUGGAGAAUGGGCCGGGAGCGGCAUACUGCGGAAGGAGCGAAGCGGGGAUACUGAAGACGGUGUCAGUAUUGGAAAAUUCUUUAACGGGGAACGAAAGCGAGGGUCCACGGAGAGCAACCCCCGGAAAACGGCGUGCCGGGAGCCGCGAUAAUAAGCAGGAGAGCCCACGGCUGAUG
rnacentral:rRNA from 1 species